UAGCUCUGGUUUCUCUUCAUUCAUGUAUAAAUCUUUUGCUUUUAACUAAAGAUUUCCGUGGAGAAGAAUGUUGAUGAGUUCAGCUUAUUUUUGCGGGCUUACCUGUGGUAAAGCU